GACGAACGCUGGCGGCGUGCCUAAUACAUGCAAGUUGAGCGCUGAAGGUUGGUACUUGUACCAACUGGAUGAGCAGCGAACGGGUGAGUAACGCGUGGGGAAUCUGCCUUUGAGCGGGGGACAACAUUUGGAAACGAAUGCUAAUACCGCAUAAAAACUUUAAACACAAGUUUUAAGUUUGAAAGAUGCAAUUGCAUCACUCAAAGAUGAUCCCGCGCUGUAUUAGCUAGUUGGUGAGGUAAAGGCUCACCAAGGCGAUGAUACAUAGCCGACCUGAGAGGGGGAUCGGCCACAUUGGGACUGAGACACGGCCCAAACUCCUACGGGAGGCAGCAGUAGGGAAUCUUCGGCAAUGGACGAAAGUCUGACCGAGCAACGCCGCGUGAGUGAAGAAGGUUUUCGGAUCGUAAAACUCUGUUGGUAGAGAAGAACGUUGGUGAGAGUGGAAAGCUCAUCAAGUGACGGUAACUACCCAGAAAGGGACGGCUAACUACGUG
rnacentral:rRNA from 1 species